AGUGAACGCUGGCGGCAGGCCUAAUACAUGCAAGUCGAACGGCAGCACAGCAGAGCUUGCUCUGUGGGUGGCGAGUGGCGGACGGGUGAGGAAUACGUGGGAAUCUGCCCAGUCGUGGGGGAUAACGUAGGGAAACUUACGCUAAUACCGCAUGCGCCCUUCGGGGGAAAGCCGGGGACCUUCGGGCCUGGCGCGAUUGGAUGAGCCCACGUCGGAUUAGCUAGUUGGCGGGUAAAGGCCCACCAAGGCGACGAUCCGUAGCUGGUCUGAGAGGAUGAUCAGCCACACUGGAACUGAGACACGGUCCAGACUCCUACGGGAGGCAGCAGUAGGGAAUAUUGGACAAUGGGCGCAAGCCUGAUCCAGCCAUGCCGCGUGAGUGAAGAAGGCCCUCGGGUUGUAAAGCUCUUUUGUCCGGAAAGAAAAGCGCCGGGUUAAUACCCUGGUGUCCUGACGGUACCGGAAGAAUAAGCACCGGCUAACUUCGUGCCAGCAGCCGCGGUAAU
rnacentral:rRNA from 1 species